rnacentral:rRNA from 1 species
CUUUCUCCGCCGGCGACCGGCGCACGGGUGAGUAACACGUAUGCAACCUGCCCCUGUCAGGGGGACAACCCGCCGGAAGGCGGGCUAAACCCGCGUACAUGCCACCGGGGCAUCCCGGAGGCAGGAAAGGCUUCGGCCGGACAGGGAUGGGCAUGCGGCGCAUUAGGCAGUAGGCGGGGUAACGGCCCACCUAACCGACGAUGCGUAGGGGUUCUGAGAGGAAGGUCCCCCACACUGGUACUGAGACACGGACCAGACUCCUACGGGAGGCAGCAG